AGAUUACCAGACUACCCGAUUCUGUAACAGUUUUGUUCCUUAUGUCACUCGUCUGGUAAACUCGCAAGAUUCCUUUUUCUCGCCAUGUAUAUGUAUACAUCCGAACUAGACUGUUGUUUCUCUGGGUCACGUGUGUGUGUGUAUCUGCCUUUCCUUCGCCGUCGAGCUAGUGCAGGCAAUUGGAGGAAUCCGCUAUUUCCGUUUCUUCUUCGCCCCUCGUCUGGUCUGGAGAAGGUGGGGUCAUCCUCAGGCAGUCGUGAUCAACCACUCCAACCACUGAUCAAAGGAAAAUAGUACAAUGAAAAGAGGCGAAGAAGAAGGGAAG